UGGUUAUGGUGGUUCGAUUGCAUCGAGAAUGUACAAUCACUCUAUUGACAUAUGAUGUCUCGGGGUAGACAUGGGGUUAGGCCCAAUAACUAUUAGGUGAGGAUCUCAAUGACGAUUUUACAUCCACUGGUGAACGAUGGGUUUGACUUAACUAAGGAAUGUACCAAUAACUGUUAGGUGAGGCCACAGGACUUAGAGACCUAGCCUGC
rnacentral:lncRNA from 1 species